rnacentral:tRNA from 1 species
UAUUAAAUAUUUUAAUAAAAUUAUUAUUAUAGUUAAUUUAAUAAAUAAACAUAAUAAUUAGAAUAAUAUUAUAUAAUUUAAUAGUUUUUCAAUAAAAUAUUCUUUUUCUAAAAAAAGUUUCAAAAAAUAAUAUUUUUUUUAAAAAUAAUUUUAUAAAUUUUAUAUUAAAUUAUUUUAUUAAAUUAUUUAAAAGUAAAUAAAUUAUAAUAAAAUAUUCAAAGUAUUUCUUUAAAAA